GGGUUGUGAGGUUAAGCGACUAAGCGUACACGGUGGAUGCCCUGGCAGUCAGAGGCGAUGAAGGACGUGCUAAUCUGCGAUAAGCGUCGGUAAGGUGAUAUGAACCGUUAUAACCGGCGAUUUCCGAAUGGGGAAACCCAGUGUGAUUCGUCACACUAUCAUUAACUGAAUCCAUAGGUUAAUGAGGCGAACCGGGGGAACUGAAACAUCUAAGUACCCCGAGGAAAAGAAAUCAACCGAGAUUCCCCCAGUAGCGGCGAGCGAACGGGGAGCAGCCCAGAGCCUGAAUCAGUGUGUGUGUUAGUGGAAGCGUCUGGAAAGGCGCGCGAUACAGGGUGACAGCCCCGUACACAAAAAUGCACAUGCUGUGAGCUCGAUGAGUAGGGCGGGACACGUGGUAUCCUGUCUGAAUAUGGGGGGACCAUCCUCCAAGGCUAAAUACUCCUGACUGACCGAUAGUGAACCAGUACCGUGAGGGAAAGGCGAAAAGAACCCCGGCGAGGGGAGUGAAAAAGAACCUGAAACCGUGUACGUACAAGCAGUGGGAGCACAGAGCAAUCUGUGUGACUGCGUACCUUUUGUAUAAUGGGUCAGCGACUUAUAUUCUGUAGCAAGGUUAACCGAAUAGGGGAGCCGAAGGGAAACCGAGUCUUAACUGGGCGUUAAGUUGCAGGGUAUAGACCCGAAACCCGGUGAUCUAGCCAUGGGCAGGUUGAAGGUUGGGUAACACUAACUGGAGGACCGAACCGACUAAUGUUGAAAAAUUAGCGGAUGACUUGUGGCUGGGGGUGAAAGGCCAAUCAAACCGGGAGAUAGCUGGUUCUCCCCGAAAGCUAUUUAGGUAGCGCCUCGUGAAUUCAUCUCCGGGGGUAGAGCACUGUUUCGGCAAGGGGGUCAUCCCGACUUACCAACCCGAUGCAAACUGCGAAUACCGGAGAAUGUUAUCACGGGAGACACACGGCGGGUGCUAACGUCCGUCGUGAAGAGGGAAACAACCCAGACCGCCAGCUAAGGUCCCAAAGUCAUGGUUAAGUGGGAAACGAUGUGGGAAGGCCCAGACAGCCAGGAUGUUGGCUUAGAAGCAGCCAUCAUUUAAAGAAAGCGUAAUAGCUCACUGGUCGAGUCGGCCUGCGCGGAAGAUGUAACGGGGCUAAACCAUGCACCGAAGCUGCGGCAGCGACGCUGAUGCGUUGUUGGGUAGGGGAGCGUUCUGUAAGCCUGCGAAGGUGUGCUGUGAGGCAUGCUGGAGGUAUCAGAAGUGCGAAUGCUGACAUAAGUAACGAUAAAGCGGGUGAAAAGCCCGCUCGCCGGAAGACCAAGGGUUCCUGUCCAACGUUAAUCGGGGCAGGGUGAGUCGACCCCUAAGGCGAGGCCGAAAGGCGUAGUCGAUGGGAAACAGGUUAAUAUUCCUGUACUUGGUGUUACUGCGAAGGGGGGACGGAGAAGGCUAUGUUGGCCGGGCGACGGUUGUCCCGGUUUAAGCGUGUAGGCUGGUUUUCCAGGCAAAUCCGGAAAAUCAAGGCUGAGGCGUGAUGACGAGGCACUACGGUGCUGAAGCAACAAAUGCCCUGCUUCCAGGAAAAGCCUCUAAGCAUCAGGUAACAUCAAAUCGUACCCCAAACCGACACAGGUGGUCAGGUAGAGAAUACCAAGGCGCUUGAGAGAACUCGGGUGAAGGAACUAGGCAAAAUGGUGCCGUAACUUCGGGAGAAGGCACGCUGAUAUGUAGGUGAAGUCCCUCGCGGAUGGAGCUGAAAUCAGUCGAAGAUACCAGCUGGCUGCAACUGUUUAUUAAAAACACAGCACUGUGCAAACACGAAAGUGGACGUAUACGGUGUGACGCCUGCCCGGUGCCGGAAGGUUAAUUGAUGGGGUCAGCGCAAGCGAAGCUCUUGAUCGAAGCCCCGGUAAACGGCGGCCGUAACUAUAACGGUCCUAAGGUAGCGAAAUUCCUUGUCGGGUAAGUUCCGACCUGCACGAAUGGCGUAAUGAUGGCCAGGCUGUCUCCACCCGAGACUCAGUGAAAUUGAACUCGCUGUGAAGAUGCAGUGUACCCGCGGCAAGACGGAAAGACCCCGUGAACCUUUACUAUAGCUUGACACUGAACAUUGAGCCUUGAUGUGUAGGAUAGGUGGGAGGCUUUGAAGUGUGGACGCCAGUCUGCAUGGAGCCGACCUUGAAAUACCACCCUU
rnacentral:rRNA from 1 species